UCGAGUCAAAGUUGCGAUUUAUGGCAUCAGGAGAGUUGCCAUUUAAAGUCUGCCAGAGACUGUGGAAGAACUGCAGUCAAUACUGAAGAGCAAGCUUGAUUUGGAAGGUGACAUCGUACUUCAAUUCGAAGAUCCAUUAUUUGAAAAUGAGUUGUGCAACUUGACCAGUAUCUCAGAUCUACCUAAAGAAAGAGCAACCCUGAAGGUAAUACUUAAGACGCCACCCGACUCUGAGCUUUCAGACAGUGACACUUUGGACACUGCCAGUAUUUAGUCGUUAUCAGACUCUCUCUCACCUUCCUACCAUGCACAGCAGUGACCUGAGCCAUUUAUCAUCCCUACCUUUAACUAUAAUGUUGAAUUGAAGCUCAGACGUGGAAAUGAGGAUUAUGGAAUGGAUGGUUCCCUUUUGCCAAUCUCCAAGAAUACGAAGACGGAAAUUCUUGACAAAGUAGCAGGUGUUAUGUUUGACGUCAACCCAUACCCAUCACAAAAACAAGUUGAAGGUGUUGCCAAAGCUCUGGUGGAGAAACACCCAUGCCUGGAAAAUCCAGGACCAUUAUGCGGAUGGUCUGCCUGGAAAUUCAGCCUGAACUUCAAGAUAGGAACUAUCGUCAGACGUUGCACAUAGCAGGAUGUCCUGAGCUUAUGGUGAAUUGUAACAAGAAGUCAAGGGUUGAUGGCAAAGACAAAAUCAAGUUUAAAAAACAAACAAGCGAACAGAGGUGAAAUUCUUGGCAGAUAUUCCUCAAGCGAAAACAACCAACACUCUUGAAGAGGAGAGAAAGAGUUUGCUAGAGGAGAUAAAGAAAAAGAGAAUGAACUGCACACUGAUGGGGAACAUGUUUGCCCUACGGAGAAAGGAAAUCAUUCAGGAUGAGCCACUUGAAUCUGAUGUGAAAACCAGAUGGCCAGCUUUGUUUACAGAGAGACAGAAUUCAACUGCCUUGUCUCCGCUGACCUCAAUAAAUCCUUCCUCGUUGGACAUGCCCAGAUUGCUGGAGUUGUACAGAGCAUUGGUUCCAACAAUGGCCGAACUUCAUCGUUUUCUAUGUUCUCUUGAUCAGAACACCUCCAACCAGAAUAGAAGAGCUGCUGUUUUCCUCAGCCUUCCACACUUCCUGAGGGAGGAUCCAUCCAACUUCAUCAAGAUCUGUCAGGUGUGUGUGUAACUUCUAUAAGUCCUGAGUUUUCUGUUUGGGCCCACACAGCCCUGAUUUUGCAAUCUCAUACUCCUUGCUUACUGUCCAAUAACUAAGGUAAUUCAUAAGUGAAUAAGCUUCAUCUCCACAUUGGUAAGUAUUCUAACAACACGAUAAGUAUUGGAACUA